rnacentral:rRNA from 1 species
AUUGAACGCUGGCGGCAUGCCUAACACAUGCAAGUCGAACGGCAGCACGGGAGCUUGCUCCUGGUGGCGAGUGGCGGACGGGUGAGUAAUGCAUAGGAAUCUGCCCAGUAGCGGGGGACAACUUGGGGAAACUCAAGCUAAUACCGCAUGCGCCCUACGGGGGAAANCGGGGGGACCUUCGGGCCUCGCACUAUUGGAUGAGCCUAUGUCAGAUUAGCUUGUUGGUGGGGUAACGGCCUACCAAGGCGACGAUCUGUAGCUGGUCUGAGAGGACGAUCAGCCACACUGGGACUGAGACACGGCCCAGACUCCUACGGGAGGCAGCAGUGGGGAAUAUUGCACAAUGGGCGAAAGCCUGAUGCAGCAAUGCCGCGUGUGUGAAGAAGGCCUGCGGGUUGUAAAGCACUUUCAGUAGGGAGGAAACAGUAGCCGGUUAAUAUCCGGUUGCCUUGACGUUACCUACAGAAGAAGCACCGGCUAACU